GCAAGUCAAACUCGUUUUUGACUUCACUAAGCCCAAUACGAGUUUAGCAAAUUUUGCUAAACCAUUAGCAUUAUUUACUAAGCGCACCCUUUAUAUAAGUCAUACUUAUACAUAUCUCUUUUGACUGCUCUUUGUGUGUGACCCUUUAGGUUCUAGUCACGUUGGCAAUGAUAUUAAAUCUAAUAUUUAAUACCAUAAACAAUGAGCGGUAUCUAGCAACACAUCAUUGCUACCCAAGUGACAAGAAUGUCAAGUGAUCUGACGAAACCUUUCAUGAUAACACAUA
rnacentral:lncRNA from 1 species